rnacentral:rRNA from 1 species
GACGUAGGGCGCGAGCGUUGUCCGGAUUUACUGGGCGUAAAGGGCUCGUAGGCGGCCAACUAAGUCAGACGUGAAAUCCCUCGGCUUAACCGGGGAACUGCGUCUGAUACUGGAUGGCUUGAGUUUGGGAGAGGGAUGCGGAAUUCCAGGUGUAGCGGUGAAAUGCGUAGAUAUCUGGAGGAACACCGGUGGCGAAGGCGGCAUCCUGGACCAACACUGACGCUGAGUGAGCGAAAGCCAGGGGAGCAAACGGG